rnacentral:lncRNA from 1 species
CCAUCUGACCGUAGGGAGCGGGCUGACCGUACGGCGGCGCUGGAGCACUGUAUUGGUUAUACGGAUACCCAGAAGGCUGAGGCGCCGCGUAGUAAGGGUUUUGCGGCGGCGGUGGUGCAGGUACGCCGUAAGGUGCCCCAUAAGCCGUUGGCGGAGCGGGAUAUUCCCGAGAGCCAGCUGGCGGCGGGACACCAUAAGGAGGAGCGUUGUACGGUUCCGGCGCACGAUAGCGCGGCUCCCUGAUCGUAACUUUAACGUCAACUUUCCCCUGGGGCCUACCGGAUGGUCGCUUGAGCUGAAGUGUGCGGCUGGCGGGCUCGUCGAAGCCCACGUCAUCGAUGACAUCCCGG